AAGACCUUGCGCUUUUGGAGCGGCCGAUGCCUGAUUAGCUUGUUGGUAAGGUAAAAGCUUACCAAGGCUUCGAUCAGUAGCUGGUCUGAGAGGACGACCAGCCACACUGGGACUGAGACACGGCCCAGACUCCUACGGGAGGCAGCAGUGGGGAAUUUUGGACAAUGGGGGCAACCCUGAUCCAGCCAUGCCGCGUGAGUGAAGAAGGCCUUCGGGUUGUAAAGCUCUUUCAGCCGGAACGAAACGGUUACGGAUAAUACCCGUGACUACUGACGGUACCGGAAGAAGAAGCACCGGCUAACUACGUGCCAGCAGCCGCGGUAAUACGUAGGGUGCGAGCGUUAAUCGGAAUUACUGGGCGUAAAGCGUGCGCAGGUGGUUUUGUAAGUCAGAUGUGAAAGCCCCGGGCUCAACCUGGGAACU
rnacentral:rRNA from 1 species